GAUGAACGCUGGCGGCGUGCCUAAUACAUGCAAGUCGAGCGAACGGACGAGAAGCUUGCUUCUCUGAUGUUAGCGGCGGACGGGUGAGUAACACGUGGAUAACCUACCUAUAAGACUGGGAUAACUUCGGGAAACCGGAGCUAAUACCGGAUGAUAUUUUGAACCGCAUGGUUCAAAAGUGAAAGACGGUGUUGCUGUCACUUAUAGAUGGAUCCGCGCUGCAUUAGCUAGUUGGUAAGGUAACGGCUUACCAAGGCAACGAUGCAUAGCCGACCUGAGAGGGUGAUCGGCCACACUGGAACUGAGACACGGUCCAGACUCCUACGGGACGCAGCAGUAGGGAAUCUUCCGCAAUGGGCGAAAGCCUGACGGAGCAACGCCGCGUGAGUGAUGAAGGUCUUCGGAUCGUAAAACUCUGUUAUUAGGGAAGAACAUAUGUGUAAGUAACUGUGCACAUCUUGACGGUACCUAAUCAGAAAGCCACGGCUAACUACGUG
rnacentral:rRNA from 1 species